UAUAUAUACAUGUACACUUUGAAAUUUAAAAUAUACUUCUUUGUCAAUUGAUAAAGUACAUUGUAACUGGUGUACUAUACUAAUAGUAAGCACUCAGGCUAGUGAAAUUUCUAUUCGUACUGGUAAGAUUUUGCAAAACUUUGUUUGGCCAACUCUGUUAUUGAAAGCCUCAAAUUUAUGGCUGUGAUAUUGUUAUGAAGAACAGCAAUAAAACCACCAUUCCUCAUUGUCCCCAGUUAGAAAUAAAAUGAGUCUGUCUUUCAGUUCUGUCUUGUUAUUAAGAGCUCUCAUGUGCAAAAAUGAUGUGUACGAUUCUUACCAGAUUUUUAUCAAAUUUAUAUGAAAAAGGUUUUAUUAAAAAUGUAGCAACUGUAAGACUUGUGCUGGACUAUGAAUUCUUGAGAAAAAAAACAAUGAAAAAGGGGUUAAAGCUUUUAUUGCAUAUUUUUAAAAUAUUUUUAAUUAAAUCUAUGGACACAGAUGAAAAUAUCAAAAUCCUCUCUAAUGCAAUCUACUUACUGGUGUUGUUUUUUUUAAGUUAUUUUUAGAUGCAGGUCCAGGAAAUGAAUUACCUAUAUACAUGAUAUAUAAACCUACAUGUAUAAAUAAAUUUACCUGGAAAUAAAUUAAAUGUCAUUAUGAAUUAGUACAUAUUUUAAUUCACUUUCUAUAAGGAAUAGGAAGAAAUUACAAGGAAAUGUUAUCUUAGUACAUUUGUAGUUAGGACAAUGUAGGAGGAAAUGAAACCAUUAUUAAUUUGAUUGUCUAGGUUGUGAUCUCAUUACUUGUGUAUUAGACUGAUAGAUAGAUACAUGUACAUGUUCAUUUCUUUCAAAUAAUAUACAGUUUUAAUUUACAUUUACUAUUUGUAAGUAUUGUUAUUUUAAGUAAAAUGUAAGAUAUUAAAAGCUUAUGUCUGGUCCAUCAGUAAGUAAUUUUAAAAAGCUAUAUGAAGAAGAAAAGGAAUUAGUAUAUAUCUUGAUCAUGUAUAGCAGAAAAAAAUAUUAUGUUUGCUUUGAUGAGAAAUCCUCCCCUUAAACUCCUGUCUCUCCUUCACCUGAAAUAAUGAGGGAGGGACUCUUUCCAAAAUAUUUCCCUGAUGUUUUAAAUUUUGUGUGCUUUAAUCCCUUUCGAAAAUUGUGAUAUAUACUCGCUGUGUUAAAGACCCAUUGGCGGUUUUUGGAUGUUUUCUACUCUUGUUUCUUUGAAACGUUCCCCAUUUCCAUUCUUCAAUUAGUAUUUAGUGGAUCAAGUUAAAUUACAUUUGCGGGUGUGUGCUGCUGUAAAACUCUUUUUUUUAAAUCUACAAGGGUCUCUAAGAUAUGGCUCUUCUAAACGGGUCAGCCUAGUCAAAAUUAUAAGUCUGGGCGGCUUUUUAUUUUUUUUUCACGCCUUCUACGACGUUGUAGGAAGGCGUAGAAAAUUAAAAGCCUUGCAGAGUCAUACAUUUGGACUAGGGUCACCAUUUAUCGUUUUGAGGAUUAUCAUGUUUCUUUGACAUACUUGGUUUUUUUUUAGGUAAAAUUUGUGUCAGUCAAGGCACAUGUCUGCAUUUAUUAUAACCUUAGACAUGAUACCAUCAAAUUUCUUUUUUUUUUUAGAAAAUGGCAUCAAGCAAGUUGUUCCUGGAUACAAUUUCCCAAAUAGAGGAGAAAAAACUACCUCCAAGACUGAAGAGGGAAUUCUUUGUCUGUGAUGAAAAUGACAAGAAUGCUGGACCAGUAAUAAGAGUAAUGCAGUGGAACAUCUUAGCCCAAGGUUUGUGUUGAUAAAGGG
rnacentral:lncRNA from 1 species